CCUACGGGUGGCAGCAGUGGGGAAUAUUGGUCAAUGGGGGUAACCCUGAUCCAGCGACGCCGCGUGAGUGAAGAAGUUUUUCGGUAUGUUAAGCCCUUUCAGCAGGGAAGAAAAUGGCGGUACCUGACUAAGAAGCCACGGCUAACUACGUUGCAGCAGCCGCGGCAAUACGGAGGGGGCCAGCGUUAUCCGGAUUUACUGGGUGUAAAGGGGGCGUAGUCGGCAGUGUAAGUCUGGAGUGAAAACCCAUGGCUGAACCAUGGAACUGCUGUGGAAACUGUGCAGCUAGAGUGUAUGAGAGGUAAGCGGAAUGCGUAGUGUAGCGGUGAAAUGCGUAGAUAUCAGGAGGAACACCAGUGGCGAAGGCGGCUUACUGGACUAUAACUGACGUUGAUGCUCGAAAGCGUGGGGAGCAAACAGGAUUAGAUACCCUGGUAGUC
rnacentral:rRNA from 1 species